rnacentral:rRNA from 1 species
GAAUAUCGUUUUCCCGCAAGGGACUGCUGCGUAGGUGCUGCAUGGCUGUCGUCAGCUCGUGUCGUAAGAUGUUGGGUUAAGUCCCGCAACGAGCGCAACCCUUAUUGCCAGUUGCCAUCAUUCAGUUGGGCACUCUGGCGAAACUGCCCCGGAUAACGGGGAGGAAGGUGGGGAUGACGUCAAGUCCUCAUGGCCUUUAUGUCCAGGGCUACACACGUGCUACAAUGGCAGAUACAAACCGUCGCAAGCCCGCGAGGGGGAGCUAAUCGGAGAAAGUCUGCCUCAGUUCGGAUUGUAGUCUGCAACUCGACUACAUGAAGCUGGAAUCGCUAGUAAUCGCAGAUCAGCACGCUGCGGUGAAUACGUUCCCGGGCCUUGUACACACCGCCCGUCACAUCACGAAAGUGGGUUGUACUAGAAGUCGCCACACCAACCCGCAAGGGAGGGAGGCGCCUAAGGUAUGGUCGGUGAUUGGGGUGAAGUCGUAACAAGGUAACCGU